AGUCAAUAGAUACCCCGGUAGUCCACGCCCUAAACGAUGUCUACUAGUUGUUGGUGGAGUAAAAAUCCAUUAGUAAACGCAGCUAAACGCGUGAAGUAGACCGCCUGGGGAGUACGGUCGCAAGAUUAAAACUCAAAGGAAUUGACGGGGGCCCGGCACAAGCGGUGGAUUAUGUGGAUUAAUUCGAUGCAACGCGAAAAACCUUAACCUGGCCUUGACAUGCCACUAACGAAGCAGAGAUGCAUUAGGUGCCCGAAACGGGAAAGUGGACACAGGUGCUGCAUGGCUGUCGUCAGCUCGUGUCGUGAGAUGUUGGGUUAAACGUCCCGCAACGAGCGCAACCCUUGCCAAUAAUUGCCAUCAUUCAGUUGGGCAC
rnacentral:rRNA from 1 species